rnacentral:rRNA from 1 species
CCUACGGGAGGCUGCAGUGGGGAAUAUUGCACAAUGGGGGAAACCCUGAUGCAGCAACGCCGCGUGAGUGAUGACGGCCUUCGGGUUGUAAAGCUCUGUCUUCAGGGACGAUAAUGACGGUACCUGAGGAGGAAGCCACGGCUAACUACGUGCCAGCAGCCGCGGUAAUACGUAGGUGGCGAGCGUUGUCCGGAUUUACUGGGCGUAAAGGGAGCGUAGGCGGAUUUUUAAGUGAGAUGUGAAAUACUCGGGCUUAACCUGAGUGCUGCAUUUCAAACUGGAAGUCUAGAGUGCAGGAGAGGAGAAGGGAAUUCCUAGUGUAGCGGUGAAAUGCGUAGAGAUUAGGAAGAACACCAGUGGCGAAGGCGCUUCUCUGGACUGUAACUGACGCUGAGGCUCGAAAGCGUGGGGAGCAAACAGGAUUAGAUACCCCUGUAGUC